rnacentral:tRNA from 1 species
GUCUGUGUAACUCAGUUGGUAGAGCAUGAUGCUUGCAACGCCAGGGCUGUGGGUUCAAUUCCCACGGGGGAUA